GCCGGAGGCUACUGCUAUCGGGAGUCCGACUAAGCCAUGCGAGUUGAGAGGGGUAAGCCCUCGGCAUAUUGCUCAGUAACACGCGGAUAACCUGCCCUUGGGUUUGGGAUAACCCCGGGAAACUGGGACUAAUACCGGAUAGAUCAAAGAAACUGGAAUGUUCUCUGGUUGAAAGCUCCGGCGCCCAAGGAUGGGUCUGCGGCCUAUCAGGUAGUAGUGGGUGUAACGUACCUACUAGCCUACGACGGGUAAGGGUUGUGAGAGCAAGAGCCCUGAGAUGGAUUCUGAGACAUGAAUCCAGGCCCUACGGGGUGCAGCAGGCGCGAAAACUUUACACUGCGGGAAACCGCGAUAAGGGGACCCCGAGUGCCAGCACCUAGUGCUGGCUGUCCAGCUGUUCAAAAAACAGUUGUUAGCAAGGGCCGGGCAAGACCGGUGCCAGCCGCCGCGGUAACACCGGCGGCCCGAGUGGUAGCCGUUAUUAUUGGGUUUAAAGGGUCCGUAGCCGGCCUAUUAAGUCUCUUGGGAAAUCUGGCGACUCAAUCGUCAGGCGUUCAAGAGAUACUGGUAGGCUUGGGACCGGGAGAGGUGGGAGGUACUCC
rnacentral:rRNA from 1 species